rnacentral:rRNA from 1 species
CCUACGGGGGGCAGCAGUGAGGAAUAUUGGUCAAUGGACGAGAGUCUGAACCAGCCAAGUAGCGUGAAGGAUGACUGCCCUAUGGGUUGUAAACUUCUUUUAUAUGGGAAUAAAAUGUUCCACGUGUGGGAUUUUGUAUGUACCAUAUGAAUAAGGAUCGGCUAACUCCGUGCCAGCAGCCGCGGUAAUACGGAGGAUCCGAGCGUUAUCCGGAUUUAUUGGGUUUAAAGGGAGCGUAGGUGGAUUGUUAAGUCAGUUGUGAAAGUUUGCGGCUCAACCGUAAAAUUGCAGUUGAAACUGGCAGUCUUGAGUACGGUAGAGGUGGGCGGAAUUCGUGGUGUAGCGGUGAAAUGCUUAGAUAUCGCGCAGAACUCCGAUUGCGAAGGCAGUUCACUGGACUGCAACUGACACUGAGGCUCGAAAGUGUGGGUAUCAAACAGGAUUAGAUACCCUUGUAGUC